AGUGAACGCUGGCGGUAGGCCUAACACAUGCAAGUCGAACGGCAGCACAGUAAGAGCUUGCUCUUACGGGUGGCGAGUGGCGGACGGGUGAGGAAUACAUCGGAAUCUACUUUUUCGUGGGGGAUAACGUAGGGAAACUUACGCUAAUACCGCAUACGACCUACGGUUGAAAGCAGGGGAUCUUCGGACCUUGCGCGAUUGAAUGAGCCGAUGUCGGAUUAGCUAGUUUGCGGGGUAAAGGCCCAACAAGGCGACGAUCCGUAGCUGGUCUGAGAGGAUGAUCAGCCACACUGGAACUGAGACACGGUCCACACUCCUACGGGAGGAAGCAGUGGGGAAUAUUGGACAAUGGGGGCAAGCCUGAUACAGCCAUACCGCGUGGGUGAAGAAGGCCCUCGGGUUGUAAAGCCCUUUUGUUGGGAAAGAAAAGCAGCAGGUUAAUACCCCGCUGUUCUGACGGUACCCAAAGAAUAAGCACCGGCUAACUUCGUG
rnacentral:rRNA from 1 species